UACGUAGGGUGCAUGCGUUAAUCGGAAUUACUGGGCGUAAAGCGUGCGCAGGCGGUUGUGCAAGACAGAUGUGAAAUCCCCGGGCUCAACCUGGGAAUUGCAUUUGUGACUGCACGGCUAGAGUGUGUCAGAGGGGGGUAGAAUUCCACGUGUAGCAGUGAAAUGCGUAGAGAUGUGGAGGAAUACCGAUGGCGAAGGCAGCCCCCUGGGUCAAGAUUGACGCUCAUGCACGAAAGCGUGGGGAGCAAACAGG
rnacentral:rRNA from 1 species